rnacentral:sRNA from 1 species
GCUGGGUGUGGUGGCGCAUGCCUAUACUCCCGGCAACUUGGGAGGCUGAGGCAAGAGGCUUGCAAGUUGGAGGUCAGCCUCACUAAUUUAGCAAGAUGUUGUCUGAA